rnacentral:rRNA from 1 species
AUUGAACGCUGGCGGCAGGCCUAACACAUGCAAGUCGAACGAGUGGCGGACGGGUGAGUAAUGUCCGGGAAAAUGCCUGAUGGAGGGGGAUAACUACUGGAAACGGUAGCUAAUACCGCAUAACAUCAGAUGUGCCCUGAUGGGAUUAGAUUGUUGGUGGGGUAAUGGCCCACCAAGGCGACGAUCCCUAGCUGGUCUGAGAGGAUGAACAGCCACACUGGAACUGAGACACGGUCCAGACUCCUACGGUAGGCAUCAGUGGGGAAUAUUGCACAAUGGUCGCAAGCAUGAUGCAGCCAUGCCGCGUGUAUGAAGAAGGCCUUCGGGUUGUAAAGUACUUUAAGCGGUGAGGCGUUACCCGCAGAAGAAGCACCGGCUAACUCCGUGCCAGCAGCCGCGGUAAUUA